rnacentral:rRNA from 1 species
UACGUAGGGGGCAAGCGUUGUCCGGAAUUAUUGGGCGUAAAGAGCUCGUAGGCGGUUUGUCGCGUCUGCUGUGAAAUCCUGAGGCUCAACCUCGGGCUUGCAGUGGGUACGGGCAGACUAGAGUGCGGUAGGGGAGACUGGAAUUCCUGGUGUAGCGGUGGAAUGCGCAGAUAUCAGGAGGAACACCGAUGGCGAAGGCAGGUCUCUGGGCCGCAACUGACGCUGAGGAGCGAAAGCAUGGGGAGCGAACAGG